UUCCAUCAUGGCCCGGAUAAUUGAGCGGUCAGUGGUUCUGGCUGAUAGCGGUGUGAUUUCGCCGUUGGGACC
rnacentral:tRNA from 1 species